rnacentral:tRNA from 2 species
GCGGAUAUGGCGGAACUGGCAGACGCGCCAGAUUUAGGUUCUGGUGGGAGACCGUGCAGGUUCGAUUCCUGUUAUCCGCA